rnacentral:rRNA from 1 species
UACGGGGGGGGCAAGCGUUGUUCGGAAUUACUGGGCGUAAAGGGCGCGUAGGCGGCCUACUAAGUCGGACGUGAAAUCCCUCGGCUCAACCGAGGAACUGCGUCCGAUACUGGCGAGGCUUGAAUUCGGGAGAGGGAUGUGGAAUUCCAGGUGUAGCGGUGAAAUGCGUAGAUAUCUGGAGGAACACCGGUGGCGAAGGCGGCAUCCUGGACCGCAACUGACGCUGAGGAGCGAAAGCAUGGGGAGCGAACAGG